UUAGGAAGCAGGAACACUGGGCAUGAGCAGAGUAGCUCACAUGGCAUUUCUUUAUUUAACAUAUGCGCUUCUUUCUUCCCUACUUUUCUGUCUUUCUUUAUUAUUGUCUGGGUUGGGGGCAUAUAGCAUAAUUAGAAAUUGAAUUAUUUAUGAGAAGUCAUUAAAAUGAGUGGCUUGCAGAUUUGUCAAAGAUAGCAGACAUAUGACAUGAAACUGCUUUUUCCUCAGCUGCUUUUGCAGAUAGUGACUUCAUGGAAGCCUAGAUAAAGCAUCUUGAACUGUGGAAAAAAGAGAGAAUGCUUUGUAACAUUAGUGGUGUAUGUGUGCAAAUAUCUGUGUGAGUGUUGUGGGAAAACUGAAAAUAUGGUGGAGAUUAGUCAACAGAAGGGUAAUGUGAGGAAGCAAUGGGAAGGAAUAGGUCAUGAUUCACUAUACAGCUUUAGAAAUCAGGAAAUGUAAUUUCUCCACCAACUGGAGGAGUUCAUGAUCCUGAUGAAAUUUCAAAGCAGUGGGAACUCACUUAAUAGCAUUAACACAUACAUUAUUUCACUAUCAUGAGGAGUGUGUCUAAAAAUAACAUAGGAGGCCUUAAGUUAUAUCAUGCUGUGAUACAGAAGACGUAUCUCAAAGUAGAUAAGAUCUAUUCCUCUAAUAAAUGAGAUCCAAAACAAACUAAGUUAAGCCUUUUAACUGUCCUGCUAUUUUUGUCAUAUUAAAACUUAAUUCUCUGAAGGUAUUUUUGGAAAUGCGCAUUCAUGCUAGUGAAAUGAUCUCAUGCCAUUGAAAUAGUCUCUUUAAUGCUGGCUUUCUGUUUUCAGGUGCGGACAAUGAUAUUUGGUCCUUUCAAAGCAAGAUCAAAGCAUUGUUAGGAAUCAUAUUUAUUCCAAUGACUACUGGUGAAUUCUGGUAAUUUGAACGGAGCUAGCAGACUCUUCAUAGUACUGGAGAUGCUUAUGAUCCCCUUUUGUUGCUUUACUGGCAGAAAUGCAUGAAUAUCCAGAAACAGAUAAAUAUACAUUUCUCCCACCGUACAGAGUGCAAAAAUGAUGAUUUUUUGAACAUCAUGUUGUCCAUUACUCCUCUUUACAUGAAAAUAGAAUCAUGCCAAUAACAACUGGAAGAUUUUAGUGGAUUUUAGGAAGAAUGCUAAGUACUGCUUGAUAGGAUAUAAUGCUAGGAGUCGUAGGGGAGAACCAAAGGGAGAUCAGUUUCACAGCUCUUCUGCAAUCUGGGAUGUGACCUAUCGCAUCUUUUGCCAUUUCUCCUUCUAGUUACAUGCUGGCUUUAUGUGCGAGGAGACAAAAGCUACUUCAUAGCCCUGUGCUUAUGAGGGCUCUAGAAAUGAAAAAUACUGCGUUAACAGUAAGCAGAAAGGUUUGUUACUUUAUUACUGUGUAAAUUGAAGUACUUGAACAUCUAUGGUGCUUUCUUCUAGAUUUUUUUUCCCUCAUUUAGCAAAUAGCAUGUAAGUCAUGAAUUCUUGUCCUCAUUUUAAAUAAUGCCAGCGUUUCUAUGUUGUACUCAUAUUUUUAACUGAUUCCUACAAUCUGUCAAAUAAAUUUAGGUACAUCCCACAUUUGCUUUUAUUUAUCUACGAAGUGGAGCCUCCUUAUUCAUUACAUUUUGGCUGCCAGUAAGAAUGGAAACCAUCCCAAGCCAUAUAUAAAUUUAAAUGGCAACAGAAUGACUGGCACUAGAUAUGUGUUUUUAGUGUCAAGACUAUGGUAAUGUAUAUCAUUAGUUGUUAAACAUAGUCUGCUGUCGGCGCUGUGCCAGCAUGCUGCCUUGUGCACAGUGCCAAACCUUGCUGGGAACCUAGAAUGUUCUGUAGUUCAACUGCAUAUUUUCUCAGUUGUAGCUGCAGAAAUGAGACACCAAAUGUAGUGACACAAAAUAACUUCUGAACCAUGCUGAUGCUCUGUGCCAGCAUGAUGUGCAAAUUAGUCUCACUUUGGGCCACUGUCUAGACCAAUCUCCCUAAUAGAGCAAUUUCCCUAGGGUAGGUUGUACAGGAAAGCAUGAAGUUGAGUUUGUUGUAAGAGACUCCACAGCCUGCCUGGACAGCUCUUUCCAGUGUUUUCUCACCCUGGUACAUAAUCACAGAAUGGUUGAAAUCAAAGGAGUCCUCUGGAGGCCAUCUUGUCCAAUGUCUCUGCUUAAGGAAGGACACUUAGACCAGGAUGCCUGGGACCGUGUUCAUAAAGAUAUCCUUAUAAUAUAUGGGAGUGUGCUUCUGUGUGUGUAAUAUAUGCAUAAUAUGGCCAUUAUGAAAUAUCAAACAAAAUAAAUCAAAAAGCAAUCUAAACUUAACCUGAAGCAGAUAAGGUUCAAGGAGAGCUGAGAUAACUUGUUUUGUUCAGCUUUAAUAAGAAAAAUCUAAUAGGGGACGUUAAUACUGUCUGCCACUACCUAAUGGGGGAUACAAGGAAGAGAGAAGAUAGAUCCAUUCUCUUUCUGGUGGGGCAUAGUAAUGCUUCAAGAGACAAAGGACACAAGCCAAA